ACGUCAGGGCGCGGCGGCGGACGUCACGGGCGCAGCGGACGUCACGGCCGGAGGUGGAUCUGAAGGGCGGCGACGGUCAGGGGCGGCGGAGGGCUGGGCAUCCCGAUUUUCAGGGGCGGCGGCGGCGAGAUCAAGGGAGAAGGUGAGGGGAACAGCGGGCGGUGGAUGGGGGCUGGCGCGGCGUAUGCUACGGGCGGCGGCGAAGGUGGGUGAGGCGGCGGAUGGGGGCUCCGGCGGAGGAGGUCAGGGCGGCGGGGUUGGAGCCGGGCGGUGCUGGCGUUGGGCUCGGGGGUGAGAGGAGGUGCGGUGAGAGGAGACGCGUGAGAAGAUCUGGGUCGAAAUGAUCCGUUGGUUUUGGAGGAAUCCCUUGGACCCGGAUCUAAUGGGAAUAUUCCCAUG
rnacentral:lncRNA from 1 species